UGUUGGUUAGCUCAGAGGUAAGAGCACCAGAUUGUUAAUCUGGAAGUCGCGGGUUCGAUUCCCGUACCAACCA
rnacentral:tRNA from 1 species